AAUUUCUUAUGCCUGUCUUUACUGCAAUCUCUGAACAUAAAUUGUGAAGAUUUCAUGGACAUUUAUCACUUCCCUAAUAAUACUCUUAUAAAUUCUAUGCCUGUCUUUACUUUAAUCUCUGAAUCCCAUUAUCUUCAUAAACUGAGAAUAUACAUCACCUCAGGACCGACUCCUGUGUUUUAAAAUGCCACUCGACAUCUAUAGAACCAUUCACAAUCUAAUUAAUAGUGCCACAUACUUGUGACUUCUAUGGGAAAGACAAAGAUAAGUCAGACUGCCCCCAUCCCCUCGAGGAAACGGUAAUCCACUGGGAAUGCGGGAUUGUCAACUACUGACCCUGACUCAAAGCAAGAUGGGAAAAUGCCUCAUAAAGGUAAAAGGGAGUUUCCAUGGAAAAGCAGAAGACCAGCGUCUGACUGAAAGGUCU
rnacentral:lncRNA from 10 species